AGAGUUUGAUCAUGGCUCAGGACGAACGCUGGCGGCGUGCCUAAUACAUGCAAGUAGAACGCUGAAGUCUGGUGCUUGCACUAGACGGAUGAGUUGCGAACGGGUGAGUAACGCGUAGGUAACCUGCCUCAUAGCGGGGGAUAACUAUUGGAAACGAUAGCUAAUACCGCAUAAUAGUAUUUACCGCAUGGUAGAUGCUUGAAAGGAGCAAUUGCUUCACUAUGAGAUGGACCUGCGUUGUAUUAGCUAGUUGGUGAGGUAACGGCUCACCAAGGCAUCGAUACAUAGCCGACCUGAGAGGGUGAUCGGCCACACUGGGACUGAGACACGGCCCAGACUCCUACGGGAGGCAGCAGUAGGGAAUCUUCGGCAAUGGGGGCAACCCUGACCGAGCAACGCCGCGUGAGUGAAGAAGGUUUUCGGAUCGUAAAGCUCUGUUGUAAGAGAAGAACUGUGAGAAGAGUGGAAAGUUUCUCACUUGACGGUAUCUUACCAGAAAGGGACGGCUAACUACGUGCCAGCAGCCGCGGUAAUACGUAGGUCCCGAGCGUUGUCCGGAUUUAUUGGGCGUAAAGCGAGCGCAGGCGGUUUGAUAAGUCUGAAGUAAAAGGCUGUGGCUUAACCAUAGUACGCUUUGGAAACUGUCAAACUUGAGUGCGGAAGGGGAGAGUGGAAUUCCAUGUGUAGCGGUGAAAUGCGUAGAUAUAUGGAGGAACACCGGUGGCGAAAGCGGCUCUCUGGUCUGUAACUGACGCUGAGGCUCGAAAGCGUGGGGAGCGAACAGGAAUUAGAUACCCUGGUAGUCCACGCCGUAAACGAUGAGUGCUAGGUGUUGGGUCCUUUCCGGACUCAGUGCCGCAGCU
rnacentral:rRNA from 1 species